rnacentral:rRNA from 1 species
GACGAACGCUGGCGGCGUGCUUAACACAUGCAAGUCGAACGGAAAGGCCCUGCUUUUGUGGGGUGCUCGAGUGGCGAACGGGUGAGUAACACGUGAGUAACCUGCCCUUGACUUUGGGAUAACUUCAGGAAACUGGGGCUAAUACCGGAUAGGAGCUCCUGCUGCAUGGUGGGGGUUGGAAAGUUUCGGCGGUUGGGGAUGGACUCGCGGCUUAUCAGCUUGUUGGUGGGGUAGUGGCUUACCAAGGCUUUGACGGGUAGCCGGCCUGAGAGGGUGACCGGCCACAUUGGGACUGAGGUACGGCCCAGACUCCUACGGGAGGCAGCAGUGGGGAAUAUUGCACAAUGGGCGGAAGCCUGAGGCAGAAACGCCGCGUGCGGGAUGACGGCCUUCGGGUUGUAAACCGCUUUCGCCUGUGACGAAGCGUGAGUGACGGUAAUGGGUAAAGAAGCACCGGCUAACUACGUG